rnacentral:RNase_P_RNA from 1 species
GUAAGCAGGAUGGCAGCGUGCGGAAUCCGAAAGGGCCCGCAUGAGGAAAGUCCGGGCUUCACAGGGCAGGAUAGCUGCUAACGGCAGCCGAAGGCGACUUUAGGGACAGUGCAACAGAGAGAUACCGCAGGGUCCAGCCCCUGUAAGGGUGGAAAGGCGAGGUAAGAGCUCACCGGAGUGCAGGAGACUGCACUGCCAUGUAAACCCUAUCCGAAGCAACACCGUAACCGUAACAGAAUGAACAAACGGCGGCCCGCCGUCAUUCUGGGGCAGGUGGCUUGAACCGUCGGGCGACCGGCGGUCUAGAUAGAUUGUCAUCUAUAACAGAACCCGGCUUACACGCUUAGUC